rnacentral:rRNA from 1 species
AUUGAACGCUGGCGGCAGGCCUAACACAUGCAAGUCGAGCGAGCGGCGGACGGGUGAGUAAUGUCUGGGAAACUGCCUGAUGGAGGGGGAUAACUACUGGAAACGGUAGCUAAUACCGCAUACCAUCAGAUGUGCCCAGAUGGGAUUAGCUAGUAGGUGGGGUAACGGCUCACCUAGGCGACGAUCCCUAGCUGGUCUGAGAGGAUGACCAGCCAAGCUGGAACUGGGACACGGUCCAGACUCCUACGGGAGGCAGCAGUGGGGAAUAUUGCACAAUGGGGGCAAGCCUGAUGCAGCCAUGCAGCGUGUAUGAAGAAGGCCUUCGGGGUGUAAAGUACUUUCAGCGAGGAGGCGUUACUCGCAGAAGAAGCACCGGCUAACUCCGUGACAGCAGCCGCGGUAAUAA